rnacentral:misc_RNA from 1 species
UUUCCGUAGGUGAACCUGCGGAAGGAUCAUUACUGAGUGAGGGCCCCUCGGGGUCCAACCUCCCACCCGUGUUUAACGAACCUUGUUGCUUCGGCGGGCCCGCCUCACGGCCGCCGGGGGGCAUCUGCCCCCGGGCCCGCGCCCGCCGAAGCCACCUGUGAACGCUGUCUGAAGUAUGCAGUCUGAGACAAUUAUUAAAUUAGUUAAAACUUUCAACAACGGAUCUCUUGGUUCUG